rnacentral:rRNA from 1 species
CAAAGAUUAAGCCAUGCAUGUCUAAGUAUAAGCACUUUAUACUGUGAAACUGCGAAUGGCUCAUUAAAUCAGUUAUCGUUUAUUUGAUAGUACCUUACUACAUGGAUACCUGUGGUAAUUCUAGAGCUAAUACAUGCUGAAAACCUCGACUUCGGAAGGGGUGUAUUUAUUAGAUAAAAAACCAAUGCCCUUCGGGGCUCCUUGGUGAAUCAUAAUAACUUAACGAAUCGCAUGGCCUUGCGCCGGCGAUGGUUCAUUCAAAUUUCUGCCCUAUCAACUUUCGAUGGUAGGAUAGUGGCCUACCAUGGUGGCAACGGGUAACGGGGAAUUAGGGUUCGAUUCCGGAGAGGGAGCCUGAGAAACGGCUACCACAUCCAAGGAAGGCAGCAGGCGCGCAAAUUACCCAAUCCCGACACGGGGAGGUAGUGACAAUAAAUACUGAUACGGGGCUCUUUUGGGUCUCGUAAUUGGAAUGAGUACAAUCUAAAUCCCUUAACGAGGAACAAUUGGAGGGCAAGUCUGGUGCCAGCAGCCGCGGUAAUUCCAGCUCCAAUAGCGUAUAUUAAAGUUGUUGCAGUUAAAAAGCUCGUAGUUGAACCUUGGGUCUGGCUGGCCGGUCCGCCUCACCGCGAGUACUGGUCCGGCUGGACCUUUCCUUCUGGGGAAUCUCAUGGCCUUCACUGGCUGUGGGGGGAACCAGGACUUUUACUGUGAAAAAAUUAGAGUGUUCAAAGCAGGCCUUUGCUCGAAUACAUUAGCAUGGAAUAAUAGAAUAGGACGUGCGGUUCUAUUUUGUUGGUUUCUAGGACCGCCGUAAUGAUUAAUAGGGAUAGUCGGGGGCGUCAGUAUUCAGCUGUCAGAGGUGAAAUUCUUGGAUUUGCUGAAGACUAACUACUGCGAAAGCAUUCGCCAAGGAUGUUUUCAUUAAUCAGGGAACGAAAGUUAGGGGAUCGAAGACGAUCAGAUACCGUCGUAGUCUUAACCAUAAACUAUGCCGACUAGGGAUCGGACGGUGUUUCUAUUAUGACCCGUUCGGCACCUUACGAGAAAUCAAAGUUUUUGGGUUCUGGGGGGAGUAUGGUCGCAAG